CAUCAUUUGUGGAUAAGUGCCUAUGUGUGCCCGCGUAAUCUCUGGAAUGUGAUAGAGUGGAAAGCUCAUCUAUGAUUCCUAAAUUGCGCUAUAGCCUAUAAUUGGUCAUUUUCUGUUAAUCUAGUAUAGCUGUUGUGGUCGUAUGGGCAGAGAUGAUUGGAUUAGAAUUGGUUUAACUGGUGAUAAACUUCCAGACGGUUGUCAGGAUAACAAACCCG